rnacentral:rRNA from 1 species
AACGAUCGCUGGCGGCAUGCCUAACACAUGCAAGUCGAACGAGAUCUUCGGGUCUAGUGGCGCACGGGUGCGUAACGCGUGGGAAUCUGCCCUUUGGUUCGGAAUAACAGUUGGAAACGACUGCUAAUACCGGAUGAUGACGAAAGUCCAAAGAUUUAUCGCCAGAGGAUGAGCCCGCGUAGGAUUAGCUAGUUGGUGUGGUAAAGGCGCACCAAGGCGACGAUCCUAGCUGGUCUGAGAGGAUGAUCAGCCACACUGGGACUGAGACACGGCCCAGACUCCGACGGGAGGCAGCAGUGGGGAAUAUUGGACAAUGGGCGAAAGCCUGAUCCAGCAAUGCCGCGUGAGUGAUGAAGGCCUUAGGGUUGUAAAGCUCUUUUACCCGGGAUGAUAAUGACAGUACCGGGAGAAUAAGCUCCGGCUAACUCCGUGCCAGCCGCCGCUGUAA